CAGCGCCACGAGUGGCAGCCCGAAUUAUUGGGCCUAAAGCGUCCGUAGCCGGUUUGUUAAAUCUUGUGUGAAAUCGUCAGCCUUAAUCUGACGGCGUGCACGAGAAACUGACAGACUAGGGACCGGGAGGAGUCAGAAGUAUUUCUGGGGGAGCGGUAAAAUGCUAUAAUCCUAGAAGGACUACCUGUGGCGAAGGCGUCUGACUAGAACGGAUCCGACGGUGAGGGACGAAAGCUAGGUGAGCAAACCGGAUUAGAUACCCGAGUAGUCC
rnacentral:rRNA from 1 species